AACGCGAAGAACCUUACCUGGGCUCGAAAUGCAGGGGAAUCCGGAUGAAAGUCUGGCGCCCGCAAGGGCCGCUGCAUAGGUGCUGCAUGGCUGUCGUCAGCUCGUGUCGUGAGAUGUUGGGUUAAGUCCCGCAACGAGCGCAACCCUCAUCUUUAGUUGCCAUGCCGCAAGGCGGCACUCUAAAGAAACUGUCGGCCACAAGCCGAAGGAAGGUGGGGAUGACGUCAAGUCCUCAUGGCCUUUAUGUCCAGGGCCACACACGUGCUACAAUGGACGGCACAAAGCGCUGCAAACCCGCGAGGGGGAGCCAAUCGCAAAAAGCCGUUCUCAGUUCGGAUUGCAGUCUGCAACUCGACUGCAUGAAGCUGGAAUCGCUAGUAAUCGCGGAUCAGCACGCCGCGGUGAAUACGUUCCCGGGCCUUGUA
rnacentral:rRNA from 1 species